ACAACGCUCACUGGCUUGUUAUUGAAUUUUAGCGCGAACCGCGUCAAUGGCCAUUCGCCCGCAGGGGGGAAGUAAACCAACACCGAGCUAGCUCUCUCAUUAGCUCCACCGCCACAGACACACAGCAGUUCACAGUCGGUUGUUAUAGUUUGCCGAAGGAUCAUGUUCCCUUGGUAACCACAUAGUGAACUAUCGCGAGAUCUCGCGCGCAGGGGUGAGAGUUCAUCCAACCUCCAGUUUUCCCUUCAAGAGAGAUAAAGCAGCUGGGCUGAGCAGCUGGCGCGUAUGGAGUUGGACAUACUUAUUGAUUACUGUAGGGAGGAGUGGUCUGAGCCUUUGUGGCUGCCUCCCCAGCAUAGAAAGCAAGCAACGUGAGGAAAGAUGUGACAGGGUCACUGAUUCCUUUACAAGCCUUUGUGUCUUCAAGUGAACCUGGGAAACACGAUGACGAGAUGAUGAUGACGACAGUUUUCGAGCUCCCUUUGACAGAGACAAGACAAACCACAGUCAUCAUUUGUCUAAAAUUUGUCUGAUAGUCUUUGCAGGUUCCCCUGUAAAAAAUAAUGAGUUUUGGCCAAAAGACAAUACUUAAUAGUAUAAAGAUUGAACAUAGACAGAAUGGUUUGAAAGUGAAUGUGAAUUUCAUAUUUGUCUUUGCAAAAGGGCUAUUUCACCUUUUUUUAAUGACAUUUUCAUACCAGUAAAUAGAGAGCAUGUGAUGUCAUUUUGUUGAUUGAUGUUUUUCAAAAGGUUGCACAUUUUUUUGUUAUAGUGUUUAAGUGUGGCUAUGAGUAGUAGAUGGUGGAAACACUGUGAAAGAUACAAACUGAUCCAGGGAUAGUUCAAAAGAUUGAACCCUAAUUAUUUGUCGAUUAUCGAUUAUCUAACUAUUAAAAAAAGUUAUUAAUCAAGAGA